GUAAACAUAAGAAACAUAAAUGCAGUCGCAUGCAAUAAUAACAAACAGUAACUACCAUACUAGCAACCAUACGGGAACAUAAGCUAAAACACUAAUCAUCUAUCCCUGCUAUCCCACACCAAACCCCGGGUGAGGCGUACGAAGAACUCUAUGGGCCCCUAGCCUACAACCCUGGUUCUAGACCUCCAGACUCCCCUAUCAAGGGUCAUGUCCUCGG
rnacentral:lncRNA from 1 species